UAUAUAUAUCCUCUAAAGAACAAAAAAUUAAAAGGAGAAUCUUGUACUAUAUAUUGAAAUACUGUGUGUCCAUUAGUAUAAAAGCUGUGAGAGAGAGUUAAGCCGCAUGGCAGCGAGCUUCUCAAGAUACCUCCGAUUGGUUUUUUAGAAAGGGAUAGACCAUCUGAAUCUGACCCUAGCAGUCAGUGGCGAGCCAACCGCAGAAGUGAACGGAUCAAGAGCCCGGUGUGGCCAGCCGUGGCAUCUUUGGAACCAGCAUCAUCCUGUACCUUCAAUUGUGAUAUAGAUAAGAACACACGUAAACCUACCCGGGUAGUGAAAAGAACAUACUCUAAGAAACACACACACACACACACACACAUCAAGGACUUCCAUGGACUUCUUUAUUUGAGUUUUGAUUUUAUUGUGCGCUGUGCACUCAGGAAGCCGGUUUAGGUAGGCAGGGACUAUAAAGAACUGUCAUUCAUUUGGUAUAAUACAAUGUUUAAAUUUA